CUUUACAGAGGGGAUGGAAGGGGGUUGCUGUGUCAGGACUCACCAGGAGGGAUUUUUGAGUCAGCUUUGGAGCUGAGGAUAUCCAGGAAAUGUUGUCUUGAGGCCACACAAAAGCAAAGUGUCACUUUUGGUCCCAGUGCUGAGCUGAGCAGAGGAGGGCAGUCCCCGUGUGUUUUGUCAUGUGGCUAUUGUGCAUUGUGUUGUGUGGCUGUCUCAUGUCUUUUACCUUAGCCCUUUGAGGGGCCUAUCAGAAACCCUGGCAUCAUUCUUAGCAUCUGUGAUCUCUGCAUUUCUUGGCCUGGCACCAAUGCCACAGGACUUUUGACUCAGGAGCUCGGGCAGGCAUCAGAAUUGCACCUCUCUUUAGAAGCAUCCAGUCAGAUGUCUUUGCAGGUCUUGUUCUGAGCUGUACGUACUCGCCAUCAGUUUCAUCUAGGUCGUUUAAUCUUGCGUUCUCUCAGUCCUUGCAGUCAUUCCUCUUGCCAAGAGAUUCCUGUCCCUGUUGUGUCCCCCUUGUUUGUCAUGUCCUGUCCUGUGUCACGGGUGUCUGCACAUAUUUGUGCCGGAGCUGCUCUGCCCUGCUGCAUAGCUUGGUGUAAUAGGACAAGUCCUGGGGGCUUGAAAUUUGUAAUGUGGGGUGUAGCUGGAUUCUAGAUAGGAUUUGUAGAUGGACACAAGAUGCCUGAAUCUGUGAAGUUAUCCUGCAGCCCUUUGACUUUUGUCCGAACUUUGUUCCAGAUGCAGGCGGAUAAAAUCCAUGGCAGAGCACCCCAUCCCGGCUGAGGGGGUUCCUCUGAGCAGGAAGUAAAGCCAGAUAUCAGCAGUCAAGGCAAUCCAUUUGGAGUAUGCCAAGCCCUCCUCUCCAACCGGCUGAUGGACGGGAUUGCUGCUUUUGUGAACCCUGUGGAAGUAUUGCAGGACUCUGUGAUGAAGCCCUGAACCUUUCUGUUUAAAGGUGCCAUCGAGCUGGCCUUCGGCAGCCGACGAGGAGUUGCGGCACACGCUGCCACGAUGGCAUCGGCCUCCAAGCGUUGCUGAAGCUAAUGGCAUUAGGAGAUGCUUUGAGGCAGCAGCCCAGUGACAGCAGGAACUUCCCAGAUGGCGAGGUGGCCUUCUUUUGCACCUGAUGCAGAUUGGCAUCCCCUGAUGUCUGCGAGAUAAGUCGAGGGCUAUGAACCACAGAGGGGAGGAAAGGGGGUUGCUGGGUUGGGAUUUGCUGGGAGAGGUUUUUGAGUCAGCUUUGGGGCUGAGGCUAUCCAAGAAAUGUCCCCUUAGGCCACAUAAAGAGAAAGUGUCACUUUUGAUCCGAGUGCUGAGGUGUGCAGGGCAGUGCAGUCCCGGUGUGUAUUGUGUCACUUGUCUAAUAUGCCUUAUGUGUUGUUUAUAUAUCUCAUGUCACACAUCUUGUACAUUAGCCCAUUGAGUGGCCUGACAGAAACCCUGGCGUCAUUCUUAGCAUCUCUGACCCCUGCAUUCCUUGGUCUGGCGCCAAUGCCAUAGGUCUUUUGACUCGGGAGCUCAGGCAUUGGAAUUUUAUUGUUCUUUAGGAACAUCCGGUCUGAUGUCUUUGCAGGUCUUGUUCUGAACAGUACAUACUGCUGUGCAUUGCAAGGAUCCAUUAUGGCAGAUUAGGAAUUGUAGGAAUGUAAGGAUAGGUAGAGGAUUCUGACCGUAGGAUUCUCAGACAUCCAUCUUUGUAGUUCUUGGUGUAGACCAUUGUCUUAGCAGAUUCUUCCUCCAGGGUUCUCUGAGCCUCUACAGCUCGCCAUCGGUCUCACCCCAGUCAUCUAAUUUGCGUUCUCUCUGUCCUUGCAGUAAUUCCUCUUGCCCUGAGAUUUGUCCCUGUUGUGUCCCCAUUGUUUGUCACGUCCUGUCCUGUGUCACGGGUGUCUGCACUAUUUGUGCCGGAGCUGCUCUGCCCUGCUGCGUAGCCUGGUGUAAUAGGACAAAUCCUGGGGGCUUGAAAUUUGUAGUAUGGGGUGUAGUUGGACUCUGGAUGGUAUUCCUAGGUUGACCCAAGGUGUCUGGAGCUGUGAAGUUGUCUUGCAGCCCUUUGACUUUUGUCCUAACUUUCUUUCAGAUGCAGACGGAUAAAAUCCAUGGCACAGCACCCCAUCCCCGGAAGUAUAGCCGUAUAGCAGCAGUCAAGGAGAAGUGGGUAAGGUAAUUCACUGUGAUUAUCCCAAGUCCCUGUCACCAACAGCUGAUGGACCAGGUUUGCUGCUCUUGUGAGCCCUGUGGAGGCGUACCCUGCAAUGAUGGAAUCGGUCUCAAAGCACGGCUGAAGCGUGCGGCCCAAGGACCCGAUCAUUCUUAGGAGGCG